rnacentral:lncRNA from 1 species
UACAAUAUAAUGAGGUGCACGAUAUAAUAACCUUGAGCUUGAGAGUUGCUUGGCCCAUUCUUUAAGAAAUGCAUAACAUGAAACGGCUAAUUGCACCUUUCUUUUUUGCCAGCUAAAUGCACCUUCCUUAUGUAAUUUUAUUUUUUUCCUAAAAAAUUACCUCUUUUCGAAAAGUAUUUUAACACUUUUAUAAAACUAAAUUUU